rnacentral:misc_RNA from 1 species
CCAAUUCAGAUAAUUAGAACCAUUAAGUUUGUGUUCCGUGAUUUUAGUAAUCACAGGAAUCAAAUCAGCUACUACACUUUUACUUUCCGCCAUUAAAAAAAAAAUUCACAUAAGCAAGUCACAAAAAUCUCCUUUCCCAAACCAAUAAAUACAGAGCAAGCACACCUCAAGGCACAAUGUUAAAACAAAAGCCACCCAACAGUAGGUGGACCAAGACAAAUCACCUCCA